UAUGGCCAUAUCACAUUAAAAAACCGGUUCUCACAUGAUCACCAAAGUUAAGCAAUGUCAUACCUGGUCAGUACCUAGAUGGGUUACCUCUUGGGAAUAUCAGGUGCUGUAUG